AUUUUAAUAAUGAAACAUUAUUGUACUAUAAAGAAAAUGAAGUGACUGAAAUGUCUGAGUCAAGUUUUCUAAUCAAAAUGCUUACAAUUUCAUGCAGCAGCACAAAAGUAUUAAGAGGAACAUCACCAAUUUUUCGAGAAGCUCAGGCACUUGAGGAGGGUCAUCAUUCUCCUAGGAAAGUCCAAGAACAAUUUAGGCUUUAAGGUGAAUGAGUUGAAAAUUUCAAUAUAGACAUGUGAUUUGGAUAUGAUUGGCUUAUUACAUGUGCCCCUUUUUUCACUUUAAAUUUUGGAAUUAGAAUGCAUUGUGUGGUGUUUGUUGAUUUACUUAACUGAAAAUAAAUUUUAUUCAUUCCUUGAAAAGAAGGGUUUUGCAGUUGGCUCAUAAUGCUCUCAACUCACCUAGCUUCCUCAAAGAGAAUCUCUAGGUGGCUACCUUCUCUUUCUAUGUACUUAACUAUUUGAGUGUUUCAUAUCUUCUCUCAUUUUAGUUUUGACUAAACUAUCUUCUCAUUCCUGUAGUUUUUUGCCAAUGGAAUAUUCUCUAGUGUUAUUGCCAAUUUUAUCUCUAGGAACCAACACUUACUCUUGCUUCCAGUGGCAAGAUUAGAAAGGUUUAUAUCAAAUGAUUAUAUUGUUUUCCCUACUUUAAUUAUGUUAACUUUAAUUCUUUUUGUUUUCCUUAUUUUAAUUAUUGAAUUGUGUUAACUUAUUUUACAUUUCAAGUAAGUUACGACAAUAAGCUUGCUGGGAGAGAAUUUCAAAUUAAAGUUGAUUAUUAGCAUGUAAUAAAAGCAAUUUGAACUCUUUUUAAAACAAAAAAAAUGAGUUUUAUUUCUUUAAAAUUUUCUUUUUAUUAUAGUUUUUGAGUUGGAUUGCUUUUUUUAAGGUGAAUGAGUUGAAAAUUCCAAUCUAGACAUAUGAUUGUCAGAAUGGCUGUUGUUCUAUACUUAUAUUGGAGCUCUAUACCCAUCAUAUCAAAUACACGAUAUGACUAAUGCUCCUUGAUUCACCAAAGCCACCAUCCAAAGGUUUUGUUUUCUUUCCUCUUUCUUGGAAAUUUUAAGCAAGAUUGUUUAUCUUUUGAAUUAUGAGUUUCAGGUAUCUAAAUGGAGUUUAUGAGUUGUGAACAAAAGAAGCGUGUUUCAUGGUGGUGUUGAUGUUGUUUACGUUCCCUCUCCUGUUAAAUCAUCUGGGCUCCAUCAUCUUAACAGCAGCAAUUCCUUUUGUUUUCUCUUCACAUCCUCUUUAUGUUGGUUACUUCUUCUAUUUUUUAUUCCCUAACCUAAUUUAAUUCUCAUCCUUUCUCUUCUGACACUUUUCCUUUGUAACUUCCUUCAUUCUCCAAUCCUCUGCUUUCUCCAUCAUUAUUAACAUAAUUCAUCUUUCUUUUAUUCAAAUUUUAAUGAUGUAUCCCCCUUUCUCUUCCACCUACCAUCCAGGCUUCCUAUGAGGACAAGAAUGGUGUUGUUGUGCUGUUAUGAUCGAUGGUGAUGAUUAUGGGAUUCAGCAGCAAACAGGUGGUGACGGCAGUUUCUAUGGCUCCAUACAUUAUUCCAGAAGUACUCUUGAUAAGGUGAAAGAAGGAGGCAUUGAUGUCAUUAGAACCUACAUCUUUUGGAAUGUUCAUGAGCCUUCUCCUAAUAGUGUACUUUGCUUUAUUUUAUUUUUACUCUUUCUCUCUCAAGUCAUUGGUUUUGUCUUUGACUCAACCAUCUUCUCAAAUUUUUCUAACAUUUUGAACUAUGUUCUGUGGUGUUUUUUGGUGAUGUGAAUGAAAUUUAGUACAAUUUUAAAUUUAGGUCUAAUCUGGUGAGGUUUGUGAAGACAAUACAGAAAGCAAGGCUAUAUAUUGUUGUAUAUCAUUAAAUUAUUACUUGGUUUUUUUCAUCACAAGGUUCUGAGAUUUUU